rnacentral:misc_RNA from 1 species
GAAAUUUGGAAAGAAUUUCCAGAAGACCUUAUCGAAGCUGUCAUUGCCAGACUUCCCAUUGCUACAUUUUUUCGCUUUCGCACAGUUUGUCGAAAAUGGAAUUCUUUGCUGGACUCUCAGAGCUUUUCUCAACAUUGUGCCCAGGUUCCACAAGCUAAUCCCUGGUUUUACACUAUAACUCAUGAAAAUGUGAAUUCCGGAGCCAUGUACGAUCCUUCCUUGAAGAAGUGGCAUCACCCUACAAUUUCUUCUCUGCCCACUAAAAUGAUUGUCUUGCCUGUUGCUUCAUCAGGAGGUCUGGUGUGCUUUAUUGAUAUUGGCCACAGAAACUUCUAUGUUUGCAACCCUCUGACUCAAUCCUUCAAAGAGUUGCCACCCCGGUCAGUUAAGGUCUGGUCUCGUAUUGCUGUGGGGAUGACUUUGAAUGGAAAUGCAAGCAGUGGGGGCUAUAAGAUUCUAUGGGUUUGCUGUGAUGGAGAGUAUGAAGUUUAUGACUCGGUGAAGAAGUCUUGGAUUCGACCAGGAAGCAUGCCUUCCGAUAUUAAGCUACCACUAUCAUUGAACUUUCGGUCACAAGCAGUUUCCAUUGAUGGCACCGUCUAUUUCAUGCGUUCAGACCCUGAAGGGAUAAUGUCCUACAAUAUGGCAACUGGGGUAUGGAAGCAAUUUAUAAUACCAGCCCCACUCCAUCUGAGUGAUCACACACUUGCAGAGUGUGGUGGCCAAAUCAUGCUUGCGGGAUUGCUAACAAAGAACGCAGCGACAUGUGUGUGCAUAUGGGAGCUGCAGAAGAUGACUCUCUUGUGGAAGGAGGUUGACAGAAUGCCAAACAUAUGGUGCUUGGAAUUUUACGGGAAGCACGUUAGGAUGACUUGCUUGGGCAACAAAGGUCUGCUUAUGUUGUCAUUGAGAUCAAGACAAAUGAACCGACUGGUUACUUAUAAUGUGAAGACCAGGGAAUGGCUUAAGGUUCCUGGUUGCUUGGUACCACGAGGGAGAAAGCGGCAGUGGAUUGCAUGUGGCACUGCCUUCUACCCGUGCCUUACUGCUACGGCUUGAUUUAUGUUGUCUUUGUGCAUUGUAGCAGCGUCUGCAUGCUAGCGCUGGGUACUCACUAUUGGCAUUAUGGUCAGUCACUUGGCUGCAAACUGUUGCUGCUAAUUCUCCAGCCAACUUUCUUUUUAAUUUUAAUGAAGCUGAUGAUCCGUGGGAUUAUUGUACAAACCUGUUGAAAAAAAAUAACUAUGAAUGGGAAAGACUAUGUUUUAAAUCUGCUCAGCUAGGUGGUUUAUAUUUCUUUACGUCGCAAAGAGACGGGAGCUAUUAAAUGAACCUCCCAUUGCCAUUGAUGGCUUCUUUUUUGUUGAGAAUUGCCGUCAGAUGAAGCUUCAAGAAAUCCUCGCAAGUAUGCAUUGUAAGGCUGCUGGAAGAUUACAGGAGAAGAAAUGGUUCUUCGAGGCCCAUGGUAUUUUAUUCAAAUUCACGUUGUGAAGCUUUACAGUAUAUGCCAUUCACAAUUCUUUCAGGCUUGCAUGUAGUAUUUUCAUCAUUAAAAAAUGCAGAUGUUUCUCUGGAGCUAGGAGAAAAUGCGUGUUAUUGCAACGAGGUUAACGAGCAUAUAGAAUCAUGGUGAAUGUAGGUACCAAAACGCAACAUAAUGUUUAUUUGAUUUAUAUGCCUUCCGGGCGCCAAAUACAGCUACAGCAGCACGAUUCUAUAAGUGUUUAUUCGUAGUUUUGUACACAUGUAGGGUUGCAGGCAUCAGAUCUGACAUUCUGUUACACUUGCAGCUUUCUCCUGUGAGUCAUACACUAAAAAGUAUCCUCAAUGUAACCUUUUUCUUAGCUGCCCCAAGGAUUUUAAGGAUCGCAUAGAAUAACAAAAAAUGAUGAAAAUUCAAGUCCGAUGCAUACCAUCAUAAUUUUAAAGCGUGAAAUACAUCAACUGCUGGGACUAGAGCCUUCCCAAUGCAAGGAAGCCAGUGCAUAAAAUAUUUCAGCACAAAAUCUGAUGCCUUGCAAGAAUCUCCUAACAUUAACAUUGAAUAAAGCAAUUGCAGAAAGUCACUCAUCAAAUAUUGAAACCCUCUCGUUUUGUUGUAAACUCAAAAGAAUAAGAUUAACAGGAUGGGUUACAAAUAUACGUCGGAUUCCCAAUCGUAUAAUGGAAUGACGAUAUAUGCAUAUGCCUCAUAGAAACAUAUUAGGAAAGGACAAUUUUAUGAAAAUAACAGAGUUCAGAACAUGAAUAACAAGUCAUCAAAGUAUUUCUCAUAUAUCAACUACAGACUAACAUCAUCUUUCCGUUUCUCGACGUCUUUGUCUACAUUUAUGCCAUGCCCCCACUUGUUGCUGUCCGUAUUAUCUGGAAUAGAGAUGAUCCA